AUAAUUUACCUUAGUCGCGAGGUUGUUUAAAUAAAACCAUGAAACAUCAAUAAGCUGAGUAUCGGCGAAAGAAAGGCUUAGCAAAAGAUUCGAAGAGUACUGUUAAGGAAUAACGUAAAUUUUAUUUUAGUAGCCUAAAACUGGUGUACUUUUUGCAUCACGGUUUAGCGAGAAAAUGUUGGAUUUCCAAGAUCUCGAAAGCUGUGUGAGCUAUUCUUUUUCGGGUUUUAGCUCUUACUCAAUCAAAAAUUCUAAGUGUAGCAGAACUUUAAUAAGAAAAAAGAAUAGAUAUGAGAUUUUAUUCGCACCAGCGAUAGCUAGUUUUUCCAGAAAAGCAUAAAAGUGCUGAAUCAAAAAAGAUUAGGAAUAAGAAUGUUCCUGAUUGUUUUUGUGUUUUAUACUCUUAAGGAUAAGCUUGAGAGUCCCCUAGAACAAGCAUAAAUAUUUAAAUCAGCUGUAUAGGCUUGAAAUUGGCCAUUACUAAAGAUCUGUUAUAAAGCAACCUAAAAGAUUAAAAAGAUUUUUGUGCNUUAGUUUUUAAGAAAAAUGGAAACAAGAAAUAAAAUCAAGAUAAUUAAGCUUAGUCUAUGCUAAAAUGAGUAUUAUACAAAGGAUAAAAAGAAUAAAGUUUUUAAGUAUUCUUUACAACUCAAUAAAAUUAAAACUAAAAAUAAAGUGGGGAAAAGGAACUCGGCNAACUUUAGCUCUGCCUGUUUAUCAAAAACAUGGCUCUUUGAAAAAUGAAUAUAGAGAGUCAGACCUGCCCAGUGAAAAAUUUUAACGGCCGCGGUACUCUGACCGUGCAAAGGUAGCAUAAUCAUUUGCCUUAUAAUUGAAGGCUAGUAUGAAUGGUUCGACAAGAGCACUGCUGUCUCUUCCCCAUUAAGUAGAAUUUAACUUUUAGGUGAAGAGGCCUAAAUAUAAUUGAAAGACAAGAAGACCCUGUCGAGCUUUAAGAUAACUUAGGAACUAUUAUAAUUUUAAAUCUAUAACUAAGCGCUUCUUUUAGUUGGGGCGACUAAGGAACAGAAAAAGCUUCCUUUUUUAGCAUAGCUUCUCGGCAAAGAUCCAGUAAGACUGAUCAAAAGAAUUAGUUACCGCAGGGAUAACAGCAUAAUCUCCUUUGAGAGACCUAAUCGAAAAGGGGGGUUGUGACCUCGAUGUUGGACUAGGAUAUCCUAAAGAUGCAGAAGUCUUUAAGGGUUGGUCUGNNCGGCC
rnacentral:rRNA from 1 species